UUUCUGGUCUUCACAAGUUUUUAUUUCUUCUCUGAGAGUUUUAAUUUUUGUCUGCAAGUCGUGGUUGUUCUGUUUAACUUGACUAAUUUCUGCUGUCAGGUGUGAACUUUUUUUUUUGCAGCUUGUGAAGUUUUGAGCCAAGGUUUUGAAAUCAGAACUGAUUUUGUUGUUGAGGUUUGUCAUGUUGUAAAUUUUAUAUAGAAGGAAAGUCUGGUUGUUCAUGAACAUCAAAAGUUUCUAAUAUCUUCCUGUUUCAGUCUUAAAAAUGUUCUUUACAUACUUACAGUAGACACGGACUCCAAUAAA